UACAGGCAAAACGGGAGGGAAACCCAUC
rnacentral:sRNA from 1 species